AUAAUCAUGCUUAAUUAUUAACCGAUAAAUACAUGUUACGUUGGUUUGUAAAAAUUAGUAUGGUUGAAUCGAUUACUAAUUUUUUUGAUACAAGCCUACCUCUAUUCACUUUCUCAUGCAUUCUCAUCAUUUUCAUUCAAAUAACUUCCAAUCGUUAUUUCGAAAAAAAACUUCAAAUCGUGUUUACGAAUAACUUUACGGGCUGACAGACCUGAGCCCAUGGAGGGCGGGCCAAUCCAGAGAUUCUAUGGGCCCUUCCUCCACCUUCACCCGCCGCUUUCUUUACCCUACGAUUGCAUUCUCCUUUUCCUCAUCGCCGGAAUCCUCUUAUCUCCCUCCCUCAACGCCAAACCCCCCUUCUCUCCUCCCUCCUCAUAGCUGAAACCCUCUCCUCUUUUUGUCCACCUCUUCCACCAAUCAACAUGUCAGACAUCAACAACGUGGAUGAGACUGCUAUGCAAUGGAGAUUGGAUGCACUUCAAUUGGCUGUAGCUGAGAACACUAUGGUGCAGUUUGAUCUCCCGACGGAACCAAAUUCGGGCGGUGAACUACAAUCUUUGUGUAGUGGGAUCGAUCCUGAUAAAACGUCCUUUCAAUCUCAACGUCGUUCAACACAGGAUGUCAAGUGUCUGACAACCGGGCCUAGGGAUGACGACGGAGGACCUGGAAAAUCGCCUAAUCUUAUUCCGUUUUAUCACUCCAUCAAUCUCCGUUGGGGGUAGAUAACGGACCAUGACUGUUUGAUCGUCAGCUUGUUGUUCUCCAUGAACUGUGUGAAGGGGAAGAUCCAGCCACUGUCCCGAUGCAGUUUGAAAAUUUAUGAGUUUAGAUUCAUGACCUACCAAAGAAUUUUUUCAUAGAAACGGUUGGUCAUAAUCUG
rnacentral:lncRNA from 1 species